UCCGCGUUAUCCGCGGCGGUUCCUCUAAAGUGCCCAACUGAAUGCUGGCAAUUAAAGGCGAGGGUUGCGCUCGUUGCGGGACUUAACCCAACAUCUCACGACACGAGCUGACGACAGCCAUGCAACACCUGUCUCUGGUCCAACUAAAUGCUCCGCCCUUUUCGGGGCAGAUCUACCAGGAUACAAGGCUAGGUAAGGUUCUUCGCGUAUCUUCGAAUUAAAGGACAUGCUCCACCACUUGUGCGGGUCCCCGUCAAUUCCUUUGAGUUUUAACCUUGCGGCCGUAAUCCCCAGGCGGCAUGCUUACCGCGUUAGCUAAGCCACCGAGUUCUGUAGCGAACCCGACAGCGAGCAUGCAUCGUUUACGGCGUGGACUAC
rnacentral:misc_RNA from 1 species